rnacentral:ncRNA from 1 species
AAUAAAUUUUUUAUAGUUUAUAAAUUUAUUAUAAAUUUAUUUUGCAUAUAAAUUUUAGUGUUAAUUUUUCAUUAUUUUAAUAAUUUUUGAAUUUUAAAAUAUAUAGCAAUUAAUAUUAAAAAUUUAAGAAAUUAAGAUUUAGUAAUAUUUAAAUUAAUAACAAAUUUUGUGCCAGCAGUUGCGGUUAUACAAAAAUUAAAUUAAAUUUUAUUAGUAAUUAAUUUAUAAAAAUUUUAUUUAAUUAAAUAUUAAAUUAAUAGGUGAAAUUUUUAUUUAAUUUAAUUUAAUUUAAUUUUAUAAUUUAAUAAAUUUAUAUUAUAAACUAGGAUUAGAUACCCUAUUAUUAAAAAUUUAAAUUUAAAAUACUAAAAUAGUAUAUAAUUAUUUAUUGAAACUUAAAUAAUUUGGCGGUAUUUUAGUUCAUUUAGAGGAAUCUGUUUAUUAAUUGAUAAUCCACGAAUGAAUUUACUUAAUUUAAAAUUUUGUAUAUCGUUGUUAAAAAAAUAUUUUUAAAUGAAAAUAAUAUUUUAAUUUUAUAAUUAAAAAUUAAAUCAGAUCAAGAUGCAGAUUAUAAUUAAGAAUAUAAUGGAUUACAAUAAAUUUAUUUAAAUGGAUUUUUUUUUGUAAUAAAAAUUUGAAAGUGGAUUUAAAUGUAAUUUUAUUUAUUUUAAUAAAAUGAUUAUAUAUUAAAAUAUGUACAUAUUGCCCGUCGCUUUCAUAAAUAAAUUGGAAUAAGUCGUAACAAAGUAGAGGUACUGGAAAGUGUUUCUAGAAAUAA